rnacentral:rRNA from 1 species
AUUGAACGCUGGCGGCAGGCCUAACACAUGCAAGUCGAACGGUAGCACAGAGAGCUUGCUCUUGGGUGACGAGUGGCGGACGGGUGAGUAAUGUCUGGGAAACUGCCCGAUGGGGGGGGAUAACUACUGGAAACGGUAGCUAAUACCGCAUAACGUCUUCGGACCAAAGUGGGGGACCUUCGGGCCUCACACCAUCGGAUGUGCCCAGAUGGGAUUAGCUAGUAGGUGGGGUAAAGGCUCACCUAGGCGACGAUCCCUAGCUGGUCUGAGAGGAUGACCAGCCACACUGGAACUGAGACACGGUCCAGACUCCUACGGGAGGCAGCAGUGGGGAAUAUUGCACAAUGGGCGCAAGCCUGAUGCAGCCAUGCCGCGUGUAUGAAGAAGGCCUUCGGGUUGUAAAGUACUUUCAGCGGGGAGGAAGGCGUUAAGGUUAAUAACCUUGGCGAUUGACGUUACCCGCAGAAGAAGCACCGGCUAACUCCGUGCCAGCAGCCGCCGUAA